rnacentral:rRNA from 1 species
GACAACGCUGGCGGCGUGCCUAACACAUGCAAGUCGAGCGAGGAGAGUUCCUUCGGGAACAAACCUAGCGGCGGACGGGUGAGUAAUACGUGGGCAACCUGCCUUGUAGAGGGAAUAGCCUUCCGAAAAGGAAGAUUAAUACCGCAUAACAUUACAGUUUCGCAUGAAACAGUAAUUAAAGGAGUAAUCCGCUACAAGAUGGGCCCGCGGCGCAUUAGCUAGUUGGUGAGGUAACGGCUCACCAAGGCGACGAUGCGUAGCCGACCUGAGAGGGUGAUCGGCCACAUUGGGACUGAGACACGGCCCAGACUCCUACGGGAGGCAGCAGUGGGGAAUAUUGCACAAUGGGGGAAACCCUGAUGCAGCAACGCCGCGUGAGUGAUGAAGGUUUUCGGAUCGUAAAGCUCUGUCUUCGGGGACGAUAAUGACGGUACCCGAGGAGGAAGCCACGGCUAACUACGUG